rnacentral:rRNA from 1 species
GGACGGGUGAGUAAUGUCUGGGAAACUGCCUGAUGGAGGGGGAUAACUACUGGAAACGGUGGCUAAUACCGCAUAACGUCGCAAGACCAAAGAGGGGGACCUUCGGGCCUCUUGCCAUCAGAUGUGCCCAGAUGGGAUUAGCUUGUUGGUGAGGUAACGGCUCACCAAGGCGACGAUCCCUAGCUGGUCUGAGAGGAUGACCAGCCACACUGGAACUGAGACACGGUCCAGACUCCUACGGGAGGCAGCAGUGGGGAAUAUUGCACAAUGGGCGCAAGCCUGAUGCAGCCAUGCCGCGUGUAUGAAGAAGGCCUUCGGGUUGUAAAGUACUUUCAGCGGGGAGGAAGGUGUUGUGGUUAAUAACCGCAGCAAUUGACGUUACCCGCAGAAGAAGCACCGGCUAACUCCGUGCCAGCAGCCGCGGUAAUACGGAGGGUGCAAGCGUUAAUCGGAAUUACUGGGCGUAAAGCGCACGCAGGCGGUCUGUCAAGUCGGAUGUGAAAUCCCCGGGCUCAACCUGGGAACUGCAUUCGAAACUGGCAGGCUUGAGUCUUGUAGAGGGGGGUAGAAUUCCAGGUGUAGCGGUGAAAUGCGUAGAGAUCUGGAGGAAUACCGGUGGCGAAGGCGGCCCCCUGGACAAAGACUGACGCUCAGGUGCGAAAGCGUGGGGAGCAAACAGGAUUAGAUACCCUGGUAGUCCACGCCGUAAACGAUGUCUACUUGGAGGUUGUGCCCUUGAGGCGUGGCUUCCGGAGCUAACGCGUUAAGUAGACCGCCUGGGGAGUACGGCCGCAAGGUUAAAACUCAAAUGAAUUGACGGGGGCCCGCACAAGCGGUGGAGCAUGUGGUUUAAUUCGAUGCAACGCGAAGAACCUUACCUGGUCUUGACAUCCACAGAACUUUCCAGAGAUGGAUUGGUGCCUUCGGGAACUGUGAGACAGGUGCUGCAUGGCUGUCGUCAGCUCGUGUUGUGAAAUGUUGGGUUAAGUCCCGCAACGAGCGCAACCCUUAUCCUUUGUUGCCAGCGGUCCGGCCGGGAACUCAAAGGAGACUGCCAGUGAUAAACUGGAGGAAGGUGGGGAUGACGUCAAGUCAUCAUGGCCCUUACGACCAGGGCUACACACGUGCUACAAUGGCGCAUACAAAGAGAAGCGACCUCGCGAGAGUAAGCGGACCUCAUAAAGUGCGUCGUAGUCCGGAUUGGAGUCUGCAACUCGACUCCAUGAAGUCGGAAUCGCUAGUAAUCGUGGAUCAGAAUGCCACGGUGAAUACGUUCCCGGGCCUUGUACACACCGCCCGUCACACCAUGGGAGUGGGUUGCAAAAGAAGUAGGUAGCUUAACCUUCGGGGGGGCGCUUACCACUUUGUGAUUCAUGACUGGGGUGAAGUCGUAACAAGGUAACCGUAGGGGAACCUGCGGUUGGAUCACCUCCUUA